rnacentral:rRNA from 1 species
GAUGAACGCUAGCGGCAGGCCUAAUACAUGCAAGUCGAACGAGAUUAGUAGCAAUACUAUGAAAGUGGCGCACGGGUGCGUAACACGUAUGCAAUCUACCUUUAAUUGGAGAAUAGCCUCGAGAAAUCGGGAUUAAUACUCCAUAACAUUAUGAAGUGGCAUCACUUUAUAAUUAAACCUCCGGGGAUUAAAGAUGAGCAUGCGCAACAUUAGCUAGUUGGUAAGGUAAUGGCUUACCAAGGCUACGAUGUUUAGGGGGUCUGAGAGGAUGAUCCCCCACACUGGUACUGAGACACGGACCAGACUCCUACGGGAGGCAGCAGUAGGGAAUAUUGGGCAAUGGAGGCAACUCUGACCCAGCCAUGCCGCGUGCAGGAUGACGGCCCUCUGGGUUGUAAACUGCUUUUAUACGGGAANAAAACGCAUGGGUUAAUACCCUGUGUGGAUGACGGUACCGGAAUAAGAAGCACCGGCUAAACUACGUGCCAGCAGCCGG